AUGAUUUCAAACAUUCAGCUAAUCUGGCCCCCGGCAUUCUGUGUCGCAGGUAUCAGUGGGGACAUCAUCAUGACCCAAUCUCCUCCGGUGCUGUCAGUGGGACUGGGCCAGACCACAACCAUCACCUGUACGGCCAGUCAAGACAUUACAAAUGACCUCAGCUGGUACCAGCAGCGAGAAGGACAGAAACCCUCUCUCCUGAUCUAUGAAGCAACAACUCGAAACACAGGCGUCUCCGAGCGAUUCACCGGCAGAGGAUAUGGGACCAGUUUCACCCUGACAAUCAGCAACGUUCAGAAUGAGGAUAUCGCAGACUAUUACUGUAUGUAG